AUACGGAGGGUGCAAGCGUUAAUCGGAAUUACUGGGCGUAAAGAGUACGUAGGCGGCCUACUAAGUCAGAUGUGAAAGCCCAGGGCUCAACCUUGGAACUGCAUUUGAAACUGGUAGGCUAGAGUAUGGUAGAGGGGGGUAGAAUUUCUGGUGUAGCGGUGAAAUGCGUAGAUAUCAGAAGGAAUACCAGUGGCGAAGGCGGCCCCCUGGCCAAAUACUGACGCUGAGGUACGAAAGCGUGGGUAGCGAACGGGAUUAGAAACCCCAGUAGUCC
rnacentral:rRNA from 1 species